CUUUGUAAUUAAGCUUUCUCUUGGCAAGCAAACAAUUAUAGCAAACAAUUACGAACGGACUGUGGCGGCUUUUUCAUUUGUAGCCACCGGAGAGGAGAGCACGAGGCACGAACUAAGACCAAUAUUUCAGCUAGCCCUUUUCACACCUACACAAGGAAAAAAUGCCAUUCUGUACAAGGAGUCACGGUAUUCUUUAUGUGCAUAUUUAUUCUGUGUCUUUGCUCU
rnacentral:lncRNA from 1 species